UAAGAGGCUUUUAUAAAAGCCAUUUUUAUGUAUCUUGAAUUAUAAU
rfam:Physcomitrella patens subsp. patens PHYPAscaffold_170 genomic scaffold, whole genome shotgun sequence.